AUUGAUGUGAAUUCUUAAUAACAGGAUUUGUAAAAUCUUUGGACAAUCUGCUUAGAUUUGAGCGAGUCAGAUUUUCUCGUAAACCUCAAUAUUAUCUAUGGAGUCGGCAGAAAUAUAAUACUGUGGACUUGGGUCAAUUCGGCCCAACAUCGAUACUGUCGCUUAUUUUCGGACAGAUCUUAAGGAAUAAGAAGUUGACAAUUUGGCGAGCAGAGUCAGGAACCUAACGGCUGGCAGUUCAGGAUCUGGUGUAAGAGAUACGAGCGGGUUGAGACGGAAGGGCCCUCCAAGAGAUUUUUCUGGGUCACUCUCUCCCUCUCUGACUCCUCGUUCCGACCCCUUCGGCUCUGGCUGACCAUCCUACAGCCUCCACGGACCAAACAGAGAACCUCAGUUGGGAGACACAGAUAACAGUCCCUACACACUCAGGUGAAGGAAACCUCAAGACCUGUUCCUGACAGAGAAGGCGAUUGGCAGGGAGCAGAACCAGGAGGUUGGGUGUUAAUAAGGAACUGGGAUCGACCCAAACUGGGACCCCGGUGGAAAGGACCGUACCAGGUCCUCCUGCAGACCCCUCUGCUGUCAAGGUGAAGGGACAAGAACGUUGGAUUCAUCUGAGUAAUUGCAAGUGCUGGACCUCCGACUCGCCCGAAGUGCGUGGGGCUAUGAACUCCUCUCUGAAUAAAAACCGUUUCAGAGGUAAUUUAGUGACACUGGUAUUUUUCCUCAACUGAGCAGAUUAAUAAUUUCAGGUUGAGACUCCCACCUAAGAAGACACCCUUUCCACAUCUACUCUAUCAAGACCUUUCAACAUUUGAUAGGCUUCAGUGAGAAUUGCAGUAAGUACAAAUCCAGAAUCUUUAAACACUCCUCAUAUGACAAGCUUGGCAAUCCCAGAAAUAUUUUCAUGAACCUGCUUUGAACCCGCUCCAAUAUCAGUGCAUCCUUUCUAACAUGGGGUCCAAAACUGCUCACAAUACUCCAAAUGAGGCCUCACCAGUACUUUAUAAACCCUCAACAUUGAAUCUGCUUUUAUAUUCAUCAUCUCAAAAAAGAAUACUAAUACCUCAUUUGCCUUCCUUACCACAGUCUCACCCUGCAAAUUUACCCUGUAGGGAAUCUUGCAUGUGGACUCCAAGGUCAUUUUGUGCCUCCGCUUUUUGAAUUUUCUCUCUGGAAAAUAGUCUAUACUUAUAUUUCAAUAGUUCUAUUUAAUAUCAGAAAGGUAUGUACAAUAUACCGUACUUGCUAAAAUUCUUGUCAUUAGCAUUCACAAAAACAGAAGAGUACCCAAAAGAAUGAAUGACAGAAAUGACGUUGAAUUCCUAACUCCCUCCCACAUCCAAGCAGAAGCAAACCAACAACCCUGCCACCCUCAGCCACUUCUGCAAAAAAGCGUCAGUACUCUCCACCAACCAAGUUUGUAAUAGCAAAACCCCUAAAAAGACCAUGAUCUGCAGUACAGCAAAAAAAAUCGAUCAUCCUACAAUUCAACACACCUUAAAAAGGGACAGAGAGAUCUUUUCUCAUCGAGAGGUAGACAUAACAAAACGUAUGUUGAUUUGCAAUGAUAAUGUCUGUCACAUUUCUUUUUUUCUGAGUUCUUUGACUCAAAAAUUAGCAACAAAAUCAUCCAUACCAACAACAGAAUGAGAGAGACUGCACAACUUACAGAAUACAGAGUCUCUGAUAGUUGAUCUUCUGCUACCCAUAUUCUGCUUUCUCUCGCAACACUGGCAAUGUCAUAGAAUCUGGCCAUACACAGAGCCACAAAGCCUCAAACUCCAAAGUUUACACAUCCUUGGAAUUUUGAAAAGCAGCUGGUCAUGAACCCCUGAGAGUGGGUCCCACCACCACAAACAAGUAAUCUGGGUGUAUCUGCAAUCAUGGUUUUCAACAAAACUCACUCUACUCUGUAAGUGAAAAAGAGAGACUUUAAAAUAGAUUUGGGAUCCUUAGGGCAGAAUUCCCUAAAGGUUAGUUUGUAGGUGGAGUCAUUGGUGAGAAUGACAAAUGGAAUGCUAAUGUUCAUUUAAAGAGGACUAGAAUAUAAAAGCAAAAAUGUAACAUUGAUAUAUUAUAAAACACUGGUAAGGCUCACAGAAUAUUGUGCAACGCACACAAGAUGCUGGCGGAAUGCAGCAGGCCAGGCAGCAUCUAUAGGGAGAAGUACAGUUGACGUUUCGGGCCGAAAUCAGCAAGAAGAAAUGGAGUGAGAACAGCUCUUUAGCAACAAGCAGCUUCGAAGAGAAGGCAGACAGCACUUGAUAAAUGCACACCAUACAGCGUACGUUCACUCUCACACAAACUUUCCCUAGUAAUUCUGCUGUAUUUGUGGUUAAUGUAUGCACUUUAAUGUCUUCCCCAGGUUAAUCUCCCAAUUAACCCACUGCUUACCCUCUACAUUGCUAUGUACAUUCACUUCACAAAACUUCAGUUUAAUUGUACAUAAAUAUCAUAUAAUCAUAUAUAUCACAAAUCUCCACAAAGUAUUUAUCUGAGGUAUACACUUUUAGAAAAGAGUGGAAAGAAAAAACAAGCAGAAGGAAAGAACUAUGUACAAGUAGGGAUUGAUUUUUUUUUACAACAGAUUCAUUGAUUUGUGAGGAUAAAAUCAGGCCUAUGAGGCAUUAUGUAGUUAAACCAUUUUUCCAAGUAUGAAUCAAAUUGUUCCCACUUAUGAUUAACAGAUACUGUUAUCUUCUCCAUUUUGUAAAUGUCCA